rnacentral:tRNA from 1 species
GCUCUCGUAGUUAAAUGGAUAUAAUUGUUCCCUCCGAAGGAAUAGUUGCCAGUUCGAUUCUGGCCGAGAGCA